rnacentral:lncRNA from 1 species
ACUACACUGCUCAGAUACAAAAGAACCCCGACUGAUGUUGAGUGAAGAGCGGGUAAUACGUGAACGAAACUCGAAGACCACCUCAUCGGCGCCCAGCGCCUGCUGAAAUGAGGCGAUGAGGUGAUGACGUGCUGCCUGGGUCGCAAGCGGAAGAGCCCCCACCUGCUGAAGUCACGCCUGCUGAGUCAUUUCCGGGGAAGUGACUCCGAGAAUCUGCCUGCUCGCGUCUCUGGCUUCCUGUUUAUGGUGUCAUCUGCCUCACACGUGGUCUCCCACCAUGAUACCAUCUGUCCUGAGGUGCUCCAGCCAAGUGUCCUUCCACUAGUGCUGCUGCCAUGCCGCUUGUGCUUCUAAAGGGCAGAGGAAGAAUUCAGAUAGGUGACAGCAUAUUUCUCAGAAAGAAAAUGAUACCAGGUGGAAAUCCGGGGCCUUCACAAUGGGACAUGGAGUGCUCGGGAUGGCGGUGACUUUGUUAGUCAACGUACAGAUUCUUAAAAAACAAUUAAAGCUCUUUCAACUAUAAAAACCUGUUAAAUUU